UCAUGUGUAUGAUUGAGUAU
rnacentral:siRNA from 1 species